rnacentral:lncRNA from 1 species
GUAUUUAACUCAAUUAUGAAGCGGUUAUUCAAUUUCUUUACUACUUAGGUUUUGUUUGGGAUCGUGGAAAGAUUGCAUUACGUGCGGUAGGAAAGGAUGAUAGAAAAAUAUUCUAUUUAUUUCUAUGCAUAAUAUUACGUUCCGCAUAUUGCGAUUAGUUAGUUACAAUAUAUUUUCUACUGUUUCAUCGGAGAAUGCAGAAGCAUAUUCCUAUAUAUUUUUUCCUCAACUUCAUUUUAUUUAAUAGCGUUAGAUAAACCUCAAUACCAAACUAAGCCUUAGAAAUAUCGAAGUUAUUUUUCUGACAAAAACAUAUCGUCAAAACUAUAACAAUUUUACUAAAUA